GAUGAAGAACGCAGCGAAAUGCGAUAAGUAAUGUGAAUUGCAGAAUUCAGUGAAUCAUCGAGUUUUUGAACGCAUAUUGCGCCCUCUGGUAUUCCGGGGGGCAUGCCUGUUCGAGCGUCAUUAAAUAACCCUCAAGCAUAGCUUGGUGUUGGGCUUUUUUACGUCCUUGACUGGGAUGGGCCUAAAAAUUAGUGGCGAUGGCUUUUUUACUUUCAAGCGUAGUAAAUCUCGUCUUGCUAAAGAGGAAAAAGAUUUUUUUUCUGCCAAAAAUUUUAACAUUUAAAGUUGACCUCGGAUCAGGUAGGAAUACCCGCUGAACUUAAGCAUAUCAAUAAGCGGAGGA
rnacentral:misc_RNA from 1 species